rnacentral:rRNA from 1 species
GAUGAACGCUGGCGGCGUGCCUAAUACAUGCAAGUCGAGCGAACGGACGAGAAGCUUGCUUUUCUGAUGUUAGCGGCGGACGGGUGAGUAACACGUGGAUAACCUACCUAUAAGACUGGGAUAACUUCGGGAAACCGGAGCUAAUACCGGAUAAUAUUUUGAACCGCAUGGUUCAAAAGUGAAAGACGGUCUUGCUGUCACUUAUAGAUGGAUCCGCGCUGCAUUAGCUAGUUGGUAAGGUAACGGCUUACCAAGGCAACGAUGCAUAGCCGACCUGAGAGGGUGAUCGGCCACACUGGAACUGAACCACGGUCCAGACUCCUACGGGAGGCAGCAGUAGGGAAUCUUCCGCAAUGGGCGAAAGCCUGACGGAGCAACGCCGCGUGAGUGAUGAAGGUCUUCGGAUCGUAAAACUCUGUUAUUAGGGAAGAACUUAUGUGUAGGUAACUGUGCACAUCUUGACGGUACCUAAUCAGAAAGCAACGGCUAACUACGUG